rnacentral:rRNA from 1 species
UACAGAGGGUGCAAGCGUUGUUCGGAAUUAUUGGGCGUAAAGGGAGUGUAGGCUGUGAGGUAAGUCUUCUGUGAAAUCUACGGGCUUAGCCUGUAACGUGCAGAGGAAACUGCUUCGCUUGAGUGUCGGAGAGGAUAGGGGAAUACCCGGUGUAGAGGUGAAAUUCGUAGAGAUCGGGAUGGAACACCAGUGGCGAAGGCGCCUAUCUGGCUGACAACUGACGCUGAGACUCGAAAGCAUGGGGAGCAAACAGG